CCUACGGGAGGCAGCAGUGAGGAAUAUUGGUCAAUGGACGCAAGUCUGAACCAGCCAUGCCGCGUGCAGGAAGACGGCUCUAUGAGUUGUAAACUGCUUUUGUACGGGGGUAAACGCAGAUACGCGUAUCUGUCUGAAAGUAUCGUACGAAUAAGGCUCGGCUAACUCCGUGCCAGCAGCCGCGGUAAUCCGGAGGAUGCGAGGGUUAUCCGGAUUUAUUGGGUUAAAGGGGUUCGUUGGCGGAUUUUUAAGUCAGUGGUAAAAUGUCCGGGCUCAACCCGGGCCGGCCGUUGAAACUGGGGAUCUUGAGUGUGCGAGAAGUAUGCGGAAUGCGUGGUGUAGCGGUGAAAUGCAUAGAUAUCACGCAGAACUCCGAUUGCGAAGGCAGCAUACCGGCGCCCGACUGACGCUGAGGCACGAAAGCGUGGGGAUCGAACAGGAUUAGAUACCCCUGUAGUC
rnacentral:rRNA from 1 species